AGCGAACGCUGGCGGCAGGCCUAACACAUGCAAGUCGAACGAACUCUUCGGAGUUAGUGGCGGACGGGUGAGUAACACGUGGGAACGUGCCUUUAGGUUCGGAAUAACUCAGGGAAACUUGUGCUAAUACCGAAUGUGCCCUUCGGGGGAAAGAUUUAUCGCCUUUAGAGCGGCCCGCGUCUGAUUAGCUAGUUGGUGAGGUAAAGGCUCACCAAGGCGACGAUCAGUAGCUGGUCUGAGAGGAUGAUCAGCCACAUUGGGACUGAGACACGGCCCAAACUCCUACGGGAAGCAGCAGUGGGGAAUCUUGCGCAAUGGGCGAAAGCCUGACGCAGCCAUGCCGCGUGAAUGAUGAAGGUCUUAGGAUUGUAAAAUUCUUUCACCGGGGACGACAAUGACGGUACCCGGAGAAGAAGCCCCGGCUAACUUCGUG
rnacentral:rRNA from 1 species